rnacentral:rRNA from 1 species
GGGCUAUUGGAGGCAUUGCCUGCCCAGUGACAACUGUUUAACGGCCGCGGUAUCCUGACCGUGCAAAGGUAGCAUAAUCAUUUGUUCUCUAAAUAAGGACUUGUAUGAAUGGCCGCACGAGGGUUUUACUGUCUCUUACUUCCAAUCAGUGAAAUUGACCUUCCCGUGAAGAGGCGGGAAUGCACAAAUAAGACGAGAAGACCCUAUGGAGCUUUAACUAACCAACCCAAAGAGAAUAGAUUUAACCAUUAAGGAAUAACAACAAUCUCCAUGAGUUGGUAGUUUCGGUUGGGGUGACCUCGGAGAAUAAAAAAUCCUCCGAGCGAUUUUAAAGACUAGACCCACAAGUCAAAUCACUCUAUCGCUCAUUGAUCCAAAAACUUGAUCAACGGAACAAGUUACCCUAGGGAUAACAGCGCAAUCCUAUUCAAGAGUCCAUAUCGACAAUAGGGUUUACGACCUCGAUGUUGGAUCAGGACAUCCUGAUGGUGCAACCGCUAUCAAAGGUUCGUUUGUUCAACGAUUAAAGUCCUACGUGAUCUGAGUUCAGACCGGA